rnacentral:rRNA from 1 species
UACGUAGGGGGCAAGCGUUGUCCGGAUUUAUUGGGCGUAAAGAGCGUGUAGGCGGCUAGGUAGGUCCGUUGUGAAAACUCGAGGCUCAACCUCGAGACGUCGAUGGAAACCAUCUGGCUAGAGUCCGGAAGAGGAGAGUGGAAUUCCUGGUGUAGCGGUGAAAUGCGCAGAUAUCGGGAAGAACACCCAUGGCGAAGGCAGCUCUCUGGGACGGUACUGACGCUGAGACGCGAAAGCGUGGGGAGCGAACAGGAUUAGAAACCCUGGUAGU